AGACGCACAGCAUUGAAAUUCUGUUUCCUGCAUUUGACUCCACACCCACGACACCCGGAGCAUUACAGAAUCCCGCACCUAUCAAAUUGAAUGGAGUCAGCAGGAGCAGCAGCCAACCCUCUCCCAUCGAUGGAGGAACGGGUUCUCCACCACACCACCGUCCUCCAUCGGAUCGGAUCCGCGAUGGAUCAAGUGAUGGAGAGAAUGGACCGAUGGGAGAGGAGUGGUCUCCUCUCUCCACCUUCGGCACCCACGGUUCCGGACUCUCCAUCUCCCGACUCCAGCACCCUCCGUCUGACGCUACCGAAGGCUUAUGAUGGAGCUGCGGCGGGUUGCCAGGGGUUUCUGCUUCAGCUGGAGCUAUACCUGGCCACCAUCAGACCCACUCCCUCAGGAGCAGAGAGGGUGAGUGUCCUCAUCUCCUGCCUCACGGGUCGUGCUCUGGAGUGGGCGAACGCAGUCUGGAAUGGCCCAGACUCAGCGCGGGAGCACUACCCAGAGUUUUCCCGCCGCUUCCGUGCCGUGUUUGAUCACCCUCUAGACGGCCGAGCGGUGGGAGAACGACUAUUUCAUCUCAGGCAGGAGAGGAGGAGCGCCCAGGUUUACGCGCUGGAGUUCCGGACCUUGGCAGCCGGAUCUGGGUGGAACGACAGGGCCCUCAUGGACCACUACAGGUGUAGUCUCCGAGAGGACAUCCGCCGGGAGUUAGCGUGUCGGGACACCACUCUGUCACUGGAUCAGCUGAUUGACAUGUCCAUUCGACUGGAUAAUCUGCUGGCUGCCCGCGGGCGUUCAGAGAGGGUCCUGUGCAUUCCACCACCCAGCCCCUCCGCUCCCAUUCCGAUGGAGUUGGGAGGGGCUGCGCCGAGGGGUACCGGAGGAGGAGGCCUUCCCUGCACCAACUGUGGUCGGAGAGGACACACGUCUGAUCGGUGCUGGGGGUCCGUCUGGGAGUAGAGAUGGCAGGCGGAACGCUUCUCGGUCACCCCAGUGUGUGUUGGGGUACCAGCCGGUCCUGGCACCAUGGCAUCCGAGCCAGACCGAGGCUCCUGCGGUGGAGGAAUGGGUACAGCGCUCCAAGGAGACCUGGAGGGCCGUCCAGGACUCUCUACGACAAGCGAGUGGACGGCAGAGGAGGAGUGCUGACCGCCACCGCAGUGAGGCCCCCGUGUUUGUACCGGGGGACAGGGUCUGGCUCUCGACCCGAAACCUACCUCUCCGCUUGCCCUGCCGGAAGCUGGGUCCGCAGUGUGUAGGGCCCUUUAAAGUCC
ensembl:lncRNA